CCUACGGGUGGCUGCAGUGGGGAAUAUUGGGCAAUGGGCGCAAGCCUGACCCAGCAACGCCGCGUGAAGGAAGAAGGCUUUCGGGUUGUAAACUUCUUUUCUCAGGGACGAAGAAAGUGACGGUACUUGAGGAAUAAGCCACGGUUAACUACGUGCCACCAGUCGCGGUAAUCCGGAGGUGGCAAGCGUUAUCCGGAUUCAUUGGGUGUGAAGGGCGUGUGGGCGGGAGCGCAAGGCAGAUGUGAAAACACAGGGAUCAACCCAGCGCGUGCAUUUGAAACUGCGUUUCUUGAGUGCUGGAGAGGCACUCGGAAUUCGGGGUGUAGCGGUGAAAUGCGUAGAUAUACGGAGGAACACCAGUGGCGAAGGCAGAUUACUGGACAGUAACUGACGCUGAGGCGCGAAAGCGUGGGGAGCAAACAGGAUUAGAUACCCCUGUAGUC
rnacentral:rRNA from 1 species